rnacentral:rRNA from 1 species
UUGGAGGGCAAGUCUGGUGCCAGCAGCCGCGGUAAUUCCAGCUCCAAUAGCGUAUAUUAAAGUUGUUGCAGUUAAAAAGCUCGUAGUUGAAUUUCGGGAUCAGAGUGUCGGUCGUGCCUCGGUACGCACUGGUAUUAUUGGUUCCUACCUUCUGAAGAACCGCGAUGUCAUUAAUUUGGUGUCGUGGGGAAUCAGGACUGUUACUUUGAAAAAAUUAGAGUGUUUAAAGCAGGCUUACGCUUGAAUACAUUAGCAUGGAAUAAUGAAAUAGGACGUUUGAUUCUAUUUUGUUGGUUUCUAGGAUUGACGUAAUGAUUAAUAGGGAUAGUUGGGGGCAUUAGUAGUCAAUUGUCAGAGGUGAAAUUCUUGGAUUUAUUGAAGACUAACUACUGCGAAAGCAUUUGCCAAGGAUGUUUUCAUUAAUCAAGAACGAAAGUUAGGGGAUCGAAGACGAUCAGAUACCGUCGUAGUCUUAACCAUAAACUAUGCCGACUAGGGAUCGGAUGAUGUUAAUUUUUUAAUGACUCAUUCGGCGCCUUACGGGAAAC